rnacentral:rRNA from 1 species
CUUCGGAUCGUAAAACUCUGUUAUCAGGGAAGAACAAGUAUCGGAGUUACUGCCGGUACCUUGACGGUACCUGACCAGAAAGCCACGGCUAACUACGUGCCAGCAGCCGCGGUAAUACGUAGGUGGCAAGCGUUGUCCGGAAUUAUUGGGCGUAAAGCGCGCGCAGGCGGUUCUUUAAGUCUGAUGUGAAAUCUUGCGGCUCAACCGUGAGCGGUCAUUGGAAACUGGAGAACUUGAGUGCAGAAGAGAAGAGCGGAAUUCCACGUGUAGCGGUGAAAUGCGUAGAGAUGUGGAGGAACACCAGUGGCGAAGGCGGCUCUUUGGUCUGUAACUGACGCUGAGGCGCGAAAGCGUGGGGAGCGAACAGGAUUAGAUACCCUGGUAGUCCACGCCGUAAACGAUGAGUGCUAAGUGUUAGAGGGUUUCCGCCCUUUAGUGCUGCAGCAAACGCAUUAAGCACUCCGCCUGGGGAGUACGGCCGCAAGGCUGAAACUCAAAGGAAUUAACGGGGGCCCGCACAAGCGGUGGAGCAUGUGGUUUAAUUCGAAGCAACGCGAAGAACCUUACCAGGUCUUGACAUCCUUAUGCCUGCCCUAGAGAUAGGGAGUUCCCUUCGGGGACAUAAGUGACAGGUGGUGCAUGGUUGUCGUCAGCUCGUGUCGUGAGAUGUUGGGUUAAGUCCCGCAACGAGCGCAACCCUUG